AAUGAACUUUCCCUAUUGUUAGUUUUACUAAACCCAUCCUUGUUCACAUUACAUAAAACAUAAUAGUAAUUAAAUUAACAUAAGUUUACCAUGUUAUUUCUACAAAAAUGUAGUACUGUAGGCUUUACUUAAUAAGGGUUUGACAGGCCAACUUAACAUUGUUGAGUAAAACGCAAAAACCUCUUAAGAUUGGAUAUUUGCUGAUACCGUAGCUACCUACCUGGAGGCGGAGCAACGGAACAGUCAGAGAGAGGAACAUGUGAAGCACAUGAGGAGGAGAAGAUGGUGGCUUUGUCAGAUUGCUGCUGAAUUCAGUCGAAUCACUACUGUCCCACUAAUUCAAACAUUUUUCAAAACUGGAUGGUUACACCAGCAAGCUGGACAGCAUUUACCGUACAAAAGAAGAAAUUGCAAAAUGGAAAAUUUGAAAACUCAUGGCUACCAUCGACAAGAAUGAUGCCAUCUCAACUUGGAGAGCUUGCAUUCUCAGAGCACUUUCUGUGUAUCUUAAUGAAGACUAUUAAAACCUCAUGAAGGAGUAUACAGCGACAGACUUUGAGAGAGACAUGGCCAAUACUGUCAUUUAAAUCUACAUCUUUAAGCCUGAAGGUGUAGAAGUCUGUGACCCACCAUCAGUUGCUGGACUAAUUUUUGAGGGAGUAAAAGUGCUUCAGAACCUC